rnacentral:tRNA from 1 species
GUGAGUAUAGCUUAACGGUAAAGUAGCAAAUUGUGGCUUUGUUGAUUGUGGGUUCAAAUCCCACUAUUCACC